AGGAUCUGGCCUUGGUGAUGCAAUUUCCAUCUUGCCUUGGUGAUGGAAAAGGCAGGUUAAAAGACGGCCACUGCAUUACUGAGAUGAGUUGAGCUAUACUUACGCAUGCUCUGGGUGAUUUGGUACCAUCCAGCAGAAGCUGGGUUCUCAAAGACUAAAGCCUGCAGUGAUCCAGAGCUUGAUGACCCUGCAGUCCAAGCCUGAGAAGAAGUUUGUGAUGAUGACUGGAGAGUUGGAAAAUUAAUGCAAGUUGGUGUUUGUUUCUUUUGGUAGCAUGGCAGAAGCUGGAAGGAACAUGUCAGUCAUCUGGUCCCCCCCACCUCUGGACCAUGUCCAUAAGCCCCUGCUGUUCAGAGGGAGCCUCCUGUGUUUCAGUGUGUGCCCACUGCUCCAGUGCUGUCACUGGACACCACUGGAAAGAGCCUGGUUCCAUCCUCUUUGCACUGUCCACUGGGUGUUUAUUUACAUUGAUGAGAUCCUGCCUGAGCCUUCCCUUCUCUGCAUUGUCCUUCCAGGAGUGGUUGAAGUCUCCUAUGAGGACAUGGCCUGAGACUUAAAAGCUGAGUUUAGACACAGGUACUGACAAUGUCCUCCAGACUGUGUGGAACAGGUAUACAUCCACCUGGUGUUCCUCUCAACUGUAGCUCUUCCAGAAUUGAGCACAAUAAGAAUGAAGACUUCAGGGAGAAUAGCUGCCACUCUUCUACUUUCUGUAGCUCCUGUUACUUACUACACACUGUUUUGUGGUGGUUUCUGCUUAUUUGCUGUGUUUUUCCCUGUGCAGGAGGGAUGAGGAGGACUGGAAUUUCAUCACCAUCUUCUCAUUUUACAUCACACUUCAGUAUCUUCACCCAUCAAACAACUUUUCAUCCUGACAGAAAGAUGCAGUCUAAUACUACUUAGAUUAAUUCUUAUUCAUCUAAUCAUAAAAAUACAAGAAGAUAAAGGAAAC